GAUGAACGCUGGCGGCGUGCUUAACACAUGCAAGUCGAACGGAAAGGCUCCUGCUUGCAGGGGUACUCGAGUGGCGAACGGGUGAGUAACACGUGGGUGAUCUGCCCUGCACUUCGGGAUAAGCCUGGGAAACUGGGUCUAAUACCGGAUAGGACGAUGGUUUGGAUGCCAUUGUGGAAAGUUUUUUCGCUGUGGGAUGAGUUCGCGGCCUAUCAGCUUGUUGGUGGGGUAAUGGCCUACCAAGGCGUCGACGGGUAGCCGGCCUGAGAGGGUGUACGGCCACAUUGGGACUGAGAUACGGCCCAGACUCCUACGGGAGGCAGCAGUGGGGAAUAUUGCACAAUGGGCGGAAGCCUGAUGCAGCGACGCCGCGUGGGGGAUGACGGCCUUCGGGUUGUAAACUCCUUUCGCUAGGGACGAAGCGCAAGUGACGGUACCUGGAGAAGAAGCACCGGCUAACUACGUG
rnacentral:rRNA from 1 species